AUUGAACGCUGGCGGCAGGCUUAACACAUGCAAGUCGAGCGGAGAUGAGGUGCUUGCACCUUAUCUUAGCGGCGGACGGGUGAGUAAUGCUUAGGAAUCUGCCUAUUAGUGGGGGACAACAUUCCGAAAGGAAUGCUAAUACAGCAUACGUACUACGGGAGAAAGCAGGGGAUCUUCGGACCUUGCGCUAAUAGAUGAGCCUAAGUCGGAAUAGCUAGUUGGUGGGGUAAAGGCCUACCAAGGCGACGAUCUGUAGCGGGUCUGAGAGGAUGAUCCGCCACACUGGGACUGAGACACGGCCCAGACUCCUACGGGAGGCAGCAGUGGGGAAUAUUGGACAAUGGGGUGAACCCUGAUCCAGCCAUGCCGCGUGUGUGAAGAAGGCCUUAUGGUUGUAAAGCACUUUAAGCGAGGAGGAGGCUACUGAGACUAAUACUCUUGGAUAGUGGACGUUACUCGCAGAAUAAGCACCGGCUAACUCUGUGCCAGCCGCCGCAGUAAAAC
rnacentral:rRNA from 1 species